CUUUUUCCAGAGGAGGCGGCGCCGGUUUGAAUUCCGCCGCCGGAGGGUCAGUUUUCACAUCGUCGGCUUUCUUGCCUUUUGUGAUGUCCUUAUUCGGAGUAUCGUUAACCUGUGGUGGCGGUGGAAACGGUGCUGCUUUUGAUGGAGGUGCUUCCUGUUUGUUGACUGCGGUGGCCGGAGGUGGAGGAGGAGGAGGAGGAUGAUGUGGUGGUGCGUCCUUACCCGGUUGUUGAGGUGCCACCGGAGGCGGGACGGAAGAGGCGGCGGAGGGCGUGGUAGAGGGGGCUUGGGGCAUAGUGAGAACGAGGACUCCAUCCUGGAACUUACCUUGAAUUUGGGUGGCGUCGCAGUUGUUCGGGACGGCGAAAGCAACGUUGAAACGGCUGCGUUUGGAGUCGGAGAGUGGGCGCUCGCCGCUAACUCUAAGGGCUCUGGUGGCCUGCACAAACGUCACCUUCAGCUGCUCCUUCUUGAACUCUGCAUCAGUACAGAGUACCCAAUUCAUUUUAAAAUACCCCUGUGGUGGCGGUGGAAACGGUGCUGCUUUUGAUGGAGGUGCUUCCUGUUUGUUGACUGCGGUGGCCGGAGGUGGAGGAGGAGGAGGAGGAUGAUGUGGUGGUGCGUCCUUACCCGGUUGUUGAGGUGCCACCGGAGGCGGGACGGAAGAGGCGGCGGAGGGAGUGGUGGAAGGGAAUUGGGGCAUAGUGAGAACGAGGACUCCAUCCUGGAACUUACCU
rnacentral:lncRNA from 1 species